rnacentral:rRNA from 1 species
UACGUAGGGGCAAGCGUUGUCCGGAAUCAUUGGGCGUAAAGAGCGUGUAGGCGGCCAGAAAAGUCCGCUGUGAAAACCCGUGGCUCAACUGCGGGCUUGCGGUCGAUACGGGCGGGCUAGAGUUCGGUAGGGGAGACUGGAAUUCCUGGUGUGAGCGGUGAAAUGCGCAGAUAUCAGGAGGAACACCGGUGGCGAAGGCGGGUCUCUGGGCCGAUACUGACGCUGGAGGAGCGAAAGCGUGGGGAGCGAACAGG